UUUGGUGGCUUUUGCAGAGCUACAGGAAGAACUUUGGCUUUUGGAACACUAGAACCAUGUCAGGAUAACAUACUCCCUUGGAUUAUCAUCGGACUCGCAAGACCAGACUCCAACACGGGCUGAAAAUUUGAAAUGGGACCUGACACUCUUGGACACAGAUGUCGGCUACGGCAGCGGCUUCAAAUACGCUUUGGUGACCAUAUUUCUAAUCGAGAGUUGUGCGAACGAGCCAGACAAACCAGCUGGGAGGAGGACGGAAGCACCCCUUCUCCAUCCGCGUUCAGUUGCUAAAUACGGAUCCACCCCGUAGUGUGGUGUUUUCCAUAGCUGUUCCUUGCUCCUGUUUCACAACAUAUCAAGGCUGCCAAGUAAAUGAAGAAUGAAUCACCGCACACUGGUCAACAGCCGACAGGGUCCUUCCACAACCACAUACUUAUGCCAGUAAAAGCCACAGCUUUUCUCCUCCAAUCCAAGAAGCCUGGACUGCAGUCACCAUCUCAACACACCAACCAAGAGAAAGGCGGAUGGCUCAAUUCAAUAUGGAAAAUUGCACAAUAAAAGUUCCAGGACAAGAAGGCUGCAUACUGUGAACGUCAACCUUCAGGGCACCGUCCUGCGCAGAAGACUUUCUACCCUAAGAGGGAUGGCUGACCGCAGACACUCACAACCAGCACAGACGCCUCCAACCUCAAACUAGGCCCUUCACAGUUGCUGCACUUACCCACCUUCCCAGAGUUUUUGUGUGGUAAUGACAACUGUAAAUAUAGUAUAAAGUAAUGUAUCUAGUGUCAUGUGUAAUACAUUGUUUAAAUUGUCCAUACAUUUCAAUGACAGUAAAUAUUGGUGGACACAAUUUGACUGUGUGGCUUUUUUUAAUUCAUUCUCUGACUGAAAAUGCAUGGUUACAUAAUUUA